rnacentral:lncRNA from 1 species
UUUUAAAAUUCAUGUUUUCAGAUUUGGAGGCAGUUGGGACCUAGAUUGAGUCGAACACAUAUGCUCGCCUUCUUGGUAGGUACUAUGGCAUCUCAAUAGCUGUACCUUCACCCACGAUCACUCUGCUGAUGGUUAAGAGUCUUAUGUUUGUGUAUACACAUUAGUAAUGAAGACCAUUAAGAUUCAUGUAUGUUAAAAAUCAAAUAUGCAUAUUUGAUUACUGAUGCCAUUAUGGGCUAGCAAACGAGUGACAUUAUUUUAACAUAAUACGAAUGUGAAUAUUGGGUUGCUAUAAAAUGUUACUGAAAUGAUUAUAGUGGAGAGUUAUAAUAUAUGGUUUUACAAAUGAUGGUUGGGAAUGAGGAUCGAAAUUGCAUAAAGAGGCUUGCUUAGGCUUAGUGGGCAAUGCCCAUUGGGCCCAUGCGCAGGUCAUAGCUCAAAAUUUAGGCUGUGACAAAGGUGGUAUCAGAGCUCUAGGUUUAGUUGAGUCCUAGGGAUUCUCGUGUCAGUCAACGGAGUUGUUGGAGUUAAUGUAGAGUCUUGUUUGUGGUUUGUGACUGCUACACAAGUCAUAGACAGAAAGCUAUAUGAACUCCUAUUCCUAGUAACCUACCCUUUUGCUAUCGUCAUGUAAAGGGCAUAAAUGGUAUUGUUGCUUGGGUUUGAGAUGCCACUCGAGGCACAAACCAUUAUUGGAAUAUUUUUAAGCAAAUGCUACUAAUGAAAGGUCAAUAUAAUGAUAUAUUCCUCCAACUAAGGAUGGAGGAAGGUGGAGCUGGACUAUUAGGUCCGUAAUAGUUAUUCAUUUGGUGGAAUUAUGAUUUGAACCCACGGUUAUCAAGGAAAAAAAAUUAAAAUUUUGGAGACUAUGGAUCAUUAUUAAGGUCAAUAUAAAGGAACACGUACGAUAACAGAACAAAGGGCGUACUUUGACUAGAAUGAAUAGUGAUGAUUGUAAUUCACUUGGAGUGCAUAAAUUUAAGCAUUGGGGUAAGAGUAAAAAAAUAUUUGUGUGCACGGAUGUAAGUGCACUAUGUUAAGUGAGCUUGUUAUGCCAUAUAUAUGUUAAGUGAGCUUGUUAUGCCAUAUAUAAAUGGAGUUGGGCUUCCGAAAUAAUUUAUAUGCAAAUAUGUGUAUAGUAGCCUAGAUGGAGUUGGUUUUGAUUCUAAUUAAGUAACUACAAGAUUCCAAGGCUUGAAUUGAAUUAUUGUGAUUUAUGGUUAUAAUUGCAUGAAUUAGCUCAAAGGUGAAAAUCAUUGAUUAUUAUAAUUGAUGUAUGGUCAUGAAGUAAAAGGCUAGUAAAUGAUCUAUUUUAAGGAUGAGCUUGAAUUUUGCUAUGCUUAGUGUGGAGCCAAAGGAUUAAAGGACUAGAUGUGGAUUUAGCAGUUUGAAGUUAAAUGACUUGGAAAUGACAAAUUUAGUCUAAAUGCCAUAUGGAGUUCUAUAUGGAGAUCGAUAUAUGAAUUGCUUUAAAGGUCAAUUUAAAAAUAUGUUUGGUUCAAUAUGCAACCUAUGAUGUAAAUGAUUAGUCUUGAAUGUGACUUCUCCAAAGGUAAGGGACUUAAAACAUGUGGAUUUUCGGAUAUGCUCUAAGAGGAAGCUUCUGCAUCCUAAGCUUAAGAAAUUUUGAUCUUAUGACUGCAAAAGCAAGAUACAAAAAUUUAGUGAAUUGUCUAUCUUAUGGAUGUAAUUGGUUAAGAAUUGAUGUGUAAAGUCAAUAUCUUAACACUAAGUGGUGUACAAUUUGAUAUAUGUGUACCUAAUAGUAAAUUUGAAGAUCAUUGCUUUAUCAAUUUGCACUGAAUGUUGUGGCAAAGAUAUAUGAAAUUUAGUAGUGAACUAUGUCUAAAGUGAGAUAUGUGGAGACUAAUGUUCCAAUCGCAAACUUGUGAUAGAAAGCUAGUUUUGCAAAUUGUGGUUUCCAUUAUCAUAAAAUAUAUGGAGGUUAUCAAUAUGUAGGCAUACACUUGGAGUUGUACAUCUUGUGAUCCCCAUGCAUCAUAUUGAAGGAGAUAUCCCAUAGGGGAGGUUACCCUGAUUUAUGGUUACAUGCCUAUAGGCUUGGCAUGAGAUUGAGAAUGCCCUGGCAUAAAUGUGGAAUGUAUUGUGAAAGGUUGAAAAGCCACAUAUACCUUAACAAGGUCAAUAACAUGAAUGAGGGGGAAAUAUGAAUGUUGAUAUGCUGAGCAUAAAGAGCCUAAGGAUAAUUAAUGCAAUUAUACUAAGUUAGAUGGUAUGAUCCGAACUAAGAAUAUGGACACCUUGGGAGAUUUUAAAAUAAUGUCCAGUGGGGUUAGUGAGCUAAAGUGUUAUCGGGCAUGCAAUGAAUGAUUAAAGUUAAGAGUGGCUUUAAAGAUAUGCCUUUGAUUGUUUAAGUUCUCAAUGGAACCCUAUUAAAGGAAGUGUUUAAGUGUUUUAGAAGUGUAUGGAAAAGCAUAAGAGAAUAUAUUAGCUUGACUUGCUUUAAGAGGUCGAAAUUUAAAUGGCCAUGAGUGGCUUGUGAGUAACCCAACAAUGUAUAGGUAAAUGUGCAAGGGAGCUAUGAUUGAUAGAUAAGGGUAGAACUUUAAUGAUGAGACUAUGUUCACUGCUUUAGGCAUUAAACAGUAAAUCACAAACAUGUAUCUACCUAAUGAACACCAUGGUAAGAUAAAUUCGAGAGAUUUUUCACAAUGAGAAAACAUUAAAGCUCGAGGAGCUAAUAGUUUUAUAGCGAUGUUGAUGCUCAUGAAUGAUAUGUCACAUAGUACCAAGGUACACUGUAAGUCUAAGAAUGCUUGGGAAUGUUGGUUUGAGGUAAUGACUACCUUGCCAUUGCGUAGACCCGAUAAUGAUACUGUCUUGAUACGCUUGUGGAGGCAGAGCAUACAAUAGUCAAAGAAAAAAGUGUUUCCCUCACAUGUUUCAUUUCAUUUUGAGUAGUUAUCAAGAUAGAGUACCAAAUAAAGGUAAAUGAAGAUUGAACUGUGCUUUAAAUGCUUAGUGAAUAAUGGCGAUAUGCUAUAGUUAAUCGAUAUUACCCUUAGUGAGGGAAUAAAAGCACACAAUUAAAUUCGUAGAGAUCUACUUGGGAAAAGAGAUGAUGAUUUGAGAAUUCAAGUACUCAUAUACGAAUAAAGAUUUGGUAAUGAGACAUGACCUAGAUAUGGAAUACUACAAUAUGAAUUUUGACUAAGAAAAUAGACUUAUAAAACACGUGGGGUUUAGAGAUGGUGCGAAUUUGUGGUUGACUCUUGUAUGACAAUGGAAUAUUGAAAUCAACUUUGUGUAUUCAUCACAAAUGAUGAGCAUGAUCUAACCAACCAAGAGAAGAAAUGAUUCUAAACUUGAUUGUUGGUUCUUUUGGUUUUACAAAUGGCUUAUUGAGUUUGAUAUGCCUAAGGCUAUUUGAAGUUAAAAUUUUUGGAAAUAUAUAUGCAUGGAUAUAUAAGUUGCAUAUUGGUAUAAAAGCUCAUGCGGAGUUAGUUAUAAUUUGAUUCGAUAAUGAUAUUCUAUCAAUGGUUAUAGUGCUAGACAAUGAUUAAGAUAAUUUAUCGCUGAUUUUGGUAGUGAACAAGUGGAUUAUAAUGUUGUUAGCUUAAAAGUAAGUGUUUAUAUUUUGGUUUGAGUUCAUCAAAUUCUAUUAUAUCGUGAUAAAACUUGAUGUUUUGAUAUAGCCUGAGAGGCUUGGCAUAUGAACUAGCUUAACUGUGAGCUAGAAAUUGUUAGGUUAUUAUGAAGUACACAAAUAAAGAAGUAUGACAUGAAUUUAAUAUCCUAAGGGGUAAUGGAAAAUGAUGUAUCAGUUUUGGUAUAGCUUCAAUAUAUAUAGUUUGAUAUAUAAAGAUGCGGGGAAAAGUUUAUAGCUUAUGCGUAGAGGUGUGCAUUUAAAUUCGUAUAAUUAAAAGUGUAAAAUCUACCUUGAUUGGUAAAAAGCUCAUGAUUCAAAAUGAAUGAUUAUGGAUUUAAUUUUCUAAGGUAAAAAGGACAAAAGAAGUUAAUAUCAGAAAGGUCUUAAUAGAUGAUUCUUAAAUUUUAAAGUGCACUUAAGGAGAGAUAAAUGUUUAAUUUGAUUUUCAGAUUGAUGAACUAAUGAGGCCAUGAGAUCUGAUGUUUUGAGUAAAUUUGAGAAAUAUCAGUUAGAUAUGUUGUGGGUGAUUGAUGACGAGCAAAUUAGCUAUGACAUCAGAAAUGUAGAAAUGAUUAGUAAUCAAAAUGAGACUUGGAAAGAAACUUUAAAGGGAAAAUUUUUAGCAACUUUAAUCUUGAGAGGUUAAGUUAUUGAUUAAGAGAUUGGUUAAGAUUAUAAGGGGGUAUGUGGAAUGUCAUAAUUUAUUGAAAUGCCUUGUGGUAUAAGUUGAGAUUUAUCUAGUGAGCACUUAAUCAUGAAAGUAUUGGAGUUUGUUUUUGGGAAUAUUGUUAGUAAUGGUUACCGGAUUUGAAUCAUCCGUGAUGUUAAAUAUAUAUGAAUAAAUAAAGAGUGUUUGAUCCUUGUGUAUUAUGCAAUGCUUGAAUGGAAUUUGUAUGGAGGUAUGUAAAAUGGAAUAGAGGUUGGUUGACCAUUUAGACCCAUAGUCAAUGGUGGAAUAAAUGCUUGAAUGUCGGAAGGUUUGAUAAAAGAUCAAGGCAAAGGAAUUCUGGAUGGUUAAGUAAACAUGCAUGAUUGAUGAUUUAAGGAUGAUUUAAUUAAGGUGUGACCAAAAUUAAUAGCAUAUUUGAAUUAUCUUCAUAAGAUAAAGAGUGAUAUUGUUUUGAUCCAACAAGAGUAGUACACAUAAUUAUAUACUAUGACAUUGUCGAGUUUUCUAUAAGAUUGGAAGUCGAUAUGAUGCAUAAACCAAGGUUCAAUGUUAAGAAUGCCCGACGAAAGUGAUGUGGUAGAACUUUAGAACUUUGAUUAUUCACCGUACGUCGAUUUGAAUUCGAUGACGAAUUCAUUUUAAGUGGGGGAGACUGUAAUACCCCGUAUUUUGAUACAAUGGCUAAUAAAGUUUACGGAUACCAAUUUAGGUUGAUUACUAAGUUAAAAAGGUAAUUCAGAAGUGAACUUGUGAAAUCUCGAUCUCCAUAGACACAUAACUAGAAGUAGACGAGAUAAUGCAAAUUAGGGGUAAUUUCGUAAUUUUUCUUGGUGAGCUCCUACGAGUGGGUUUUUUUAUGCUAUUAAGAACUAAAUAGGCCUAAGGAAUGAAUAAAUGAUGUUCAUGAUUGUAAAUAAAUGAGAAAGAUAAAAAUAAUGAUAAUUUCCACGAUAGGGGUAAAAUGGUCAUUUUGCAUCUUUGAUCUAAAUUUUUAAGUUUCAUGAACAGGAGUACCUUUAGACUAUUAUGGACUUUGUUUCGGUGUCAAAAGAGCAAAAAGGUUGAGCAAAGGAUGGGAGGAAGACAAAACCACCAUGUUAAGGGCAUUUUGGUAAUUUUGGUAAAAAUUUGGAUUAACUUGAAGCAUAAAUAUCUGAGCUCCAGCAGCUUCUCCUUCUUUUUUGUCCUCUCCUUUUACGUUCUUUUUAUCCUCCAUGGAAGCUUGCUUUGCAACUUCCAUAACUUUCUCUCUCUAGCUCUAAUUUUCAUGCUUUUGUGCACUUUUUCAUAAAACUUUUGUGCUCUUUCACUCUCUCACUUUAAAACCCUUGAAAAGUCUUACCUCUAUACUUUCGCACACUAGCUGAAAGUUUAGAGAGAGAAAGAGGGAUUUUCCAUCAUAGCUUGAGUAUUCUUGAGAAAGAAUUCAACUACAAAUCCACCAAGGUGAGUAAUGAAUGAGGAUUGAUUUUAGGUUGUUGAUAAUGGCUAGUAAUUAGAGUUGUGAAUUGUUUUAUUAUUGAGGUUUGUUUAUUUAUUUCUAGUGAUACAUGAGUAGAGAGAAUAGAUAGCUAAUCAAAAGGUAAUUGGAAGCUAGUUAGGAAUAACAAGUAGAACUUGAUUUAAAAAAUAGCUUUUAGAAAUGUAUUUAUGCAAAUUGGGUUGGUAGUGAUGUUGUGUGUGUGUGUUAGGUUCCAACAGGGCCUCACAUGUCCGUUUGAAGCAAUAAUCGAAGUUAGAAUCGAUUAAAAAAUCAACAAGAACGGUGAGUGAACUUGCAUUUCAAAAUUUAUUUUGGGAAUGUGAAUUUAUUUGCACAAACAAUGAUUGAUUUUAUCAAACUUUUCUUAAAAACGUGUGCCUUGGGGACAAGCCUUUGAUAAAUUGUCUCUAUGUUGUGACAUGUAGCUGUUAUGGAUUCAUGAACUACUACAUUAUGUUGAUAUAUAUAUAUGUUGUGCAUUAAUAGUUGAUAUUGUGUGAUAAUUAUGACCGCGCAUGUGCACGACGUAGGGGGAUCCACAUGCCGAUGAUGACUGUGGUGAGGGAGAUAGAUAAUGAUAAUGCUCGUGUGCACGAUGUGGGGGAUGUACACGAUGGCACUGAUUGUGCACGAUGUGGGGGGAAUGCACACGAUGACUUUAGCUAUGGCACGAUGUGGGGGGAUGCACAUGAGCUGGGUGAGAUGAUGGUGGUAUUGGUUUUUAUUUAUGUAUAUAUGUGUAUAUAUGUUUGUGAAAUAAAAGUUCAUGAAUAUAGUAUAUGGUUGUAAUGCAUGUGAAAUUUUGGCAUUUUGAACUUUGGAAAUUUUUGAGUAUUUCAUGUUGAAAUUGGCAUGAUGAAUCUUGAGAAUGUCCCAUUUUCUUACAAAUUGAGUUUAUUAUAGCACCAAAUGUAUUUUUAGUGCAAAUGAGGUCCUUUUUACAUUUAGGUGCCCUGCUUCUCGCUGCAGCGAGAAACAUUUUGUUUUGGCAGCCAGCAACUCACUACAGCAAGAAACUCUCAGGUUCUAAUUCAGUGCUUUCACUUUGAUAAAGAUUUUGACCACCUUCUGUUCCGAACUAGGAAAAGUGGUAAAUAUCAAAGUUGUAGCCCUGCCUCUUAGCUUUCUAAUGGUAAAAAAUCAGGUCAAUUGGACUUCUGUAACGAAAGAUAUACUAGAAAAACUAAAACAUAUGCAAAGUAAUACUAGUUCUCGCUGUAGCGAGAAACUUUCUGUUUUGGCUGCUUGAAUCUCACUACAACAAGAAUGAACUUCAUUGCAGUGAGAAACUUGCUACCAUGCUUGCUACCUUGCUUGAUUUUGACAUAUUUUUCACCCAUUUAACUUCAUGGAUUGAUCUUGGGUUUUUGCAACACUAUGAGGUUAUUAAUCAAAGUUUGAAAUGAGGGGUUUUUAGUAAGAAAUUAAAUCAAUUGCAUUGUUUUUAGGAACAAGUGCAUCAUGAUUUCCAAAUUCUUCCUAUUGAUUGCUUGUUCCCUUCUUAUGUUCACUCACUGAGUCUUAUACUCACGUUUUUAAAAUUUAUGUUUUUAGAUUUGGAGGCAAUUAGGACCUAGAUUGAGUGGAAUACAUAUGCUCGCCUUCUUGGUAGGUACUAUGGCAUCUCAGUAGCUGUACCUUCACCCACGGUCACUCUGCUGAUGGUUAAGAGUCUUAUGUUUGUGUAUACACAUAAGUAAUGUAGACCACUAAGAUUCAUGUAUGUUAAAAAUCAAAUAUGUAUAUUUGAUUACUGAUGCCAUUAUGGGCUGGCAAACGAGUGACAUUAUUUUAACAUAAUACGAAUGUGAAUAUUGAGUUGCUAUAAAAUGUUACCGAAAUGAUUAUAGUGGAGAAUUAUAAUAUGUGGUUUUACAAAUGAUGGUUGGGAAUGAUGAUCGGAAUUGCAUAAAGA